rnacentral:lncRNA from 1 species
AUGGCCAAUGUCACAUGGGAGGAAGGUGGGGCUACUCUCCACCCUGGCAUCCAGGGGAGCCUGCAGACAGUGGGAGGCCUGGGAUCUCCCCAAAGCAGCUGGGCCUGCUCUGGCAGAGGGAGGAGGGACACAGAGAGGUACAGGUCCUCAGAUUCCACUAAUGGUCAGGCCUGUGGUGGGGAUGGUGCACACACCCCAAGAUCAAGGCAAGACUCGAGACCACUAGAAACUGGCCAACAGAUUCAAGAACAGCCUUGGUGCCCCUCUGACACAGUGACUCCAAAGAAGCAAGCUCCGGAGGGGAACAAGCCUCCCCGACUUUGCAUCUAGCUGCCCUAUGGCCCUCUGAGACCAUCCAACCUCCUCCUAAAAGCCAGACACCCAGAGAUAUCAGAGCCCAGCCCAAGGUCACACAGCAAAGCUGCUGCAGAGUCUUGCAAGAAUCCAGGGCGCCGACUCUGGCUUAGGGUUCUCCCUGUGCUAUAAUAAACUUGUCUAUUUUUAGGGCGCUAAUUAGCAAGUCAAAUCUGACUCCUGCUCACUCAUAAUAAUCCCACCUUUAUGCUUUUCAGAGUCUCUGCUUCACCUCAGUUGCUCCUGCAGCAGGGGGGUGGGCUGCCAGGUGGUAAUCUCCUUGGAAAACUGUUGCCCCUGGAGAGGAGGUGACUUGAAGCACACAGUGAGCUCGCUCGCCC